rnacentral:sRNA from 2 species
GUCAGUAUCUGGCGAGGAGUGUGCCACGGGAAGAAUAAAGUUGCAUGCCCAAUGCCUAAACUGCGUAGUCCUUGCAAACAACGCAGUAGUGCAAAGAAUCUGUUUUCAAUGGGGGACGAAUCCAAGGGCUUGUUGACUGGGCCAAUGUAAGGCUCGCCAGCAAAUUGUCAUUGCGAAAAAGGAAAAGAAAUGAAAAAAAAGGAAAGAAAUCCCUCGCGAAGCUCAAAUCGCGAUUGUUUCAACGGCCGUGGGAUAUUUUUCGUCUUGAUACACGGGCUGUUGAGAAUUCUGUAAAAAGUUUCUAUGUAAAAUCAUGCCAGAACGAUUUUCUAUAGCCCAA